UACGGAGGGGGCUAGCGUUGUUCGGAAUUGCUGGGCGUAAAGCGCGCGUAGGCGGCUUUGUAAGUUAGAGGUGAAAGCCCGGAGCUCAACUCCGGAACUGCCUUUAAGACUGCAUCGCUAGAACGAUGGAGAGGUAAGUGGAAUUCCGAGUGUAGAGGUGAAAUUCGUAGAUAUUCGGAAGAACACCAGUGGCGAAGGCGACUUACUGGACAUCUGUUGACGCUGAGGUGCGAAAGCGUGGGGAGCAAACAGG
rnacentral:rRNA from 1 species